AGCGAACGCUGGCGGUAGGCCUAACACAUGCAAGUCGAACGAAGUCUUCGGACUUAGUGGCGGACGGGUGAGUAACACGUGGGAACGUACCUUUUGGUUCGGAACAACUCAGGGAAACUUGAGCUAAUACCGGAUGAGCCCUUAGGGGGAAAGAUUUAUCGCCGAAAGAGCGGCCCGCGUUAGAUUAGCUAGUUGGUGAGGUAAAGGCUCACCAAGGCUACGAUCUAUAGCUGGUCUGAGAGGAUGAUCAGCCACACUGGGACUGAGACACGGCCCAGACUCCUACGGGAGGCAGCAGUGGGGAAUCUUGCGCAAUGGGCGAAAGCCUGACGCAGCCAUGCCGCGUGAAUGAUGAAGGUCUUAGGAUUGUAAAAUUCUUUUACCAGGGACGAUAAUGACGGUACCUGGAGAAAAAGCCCCGGCUAACUUCGUGCCAGCAGCCGCUGUAACAC
rnacentral:rRNA from 1 species